rnacentral:rRNA from 1 species
GACGAACGCUGGCGGCGUGCUUAACACAUGCAAGUCGAACGGUAAGGCCCUUCGGGGUACACGAGUGGCGAACGGGUGAGUAACACGUGGGUGAUCUGCCCUGCACUUCGGGAUAAGCCUGGGAAACUGGGUCUAAUACCGGAUAGGACCACUGCCUGCAUGGGGGGUGGUGGAAAGCUUUGGCGGUGUGGGAUGGGCCCGCGGCCUAUCAGCUUGUUGGUGGGGUGAUGGCCUACCAAGGCGCCGACGGGUAGCCGGCCUGGGAGGGUGACCGGCCACACUGGGACUGAGAUACGGCCCAGACUCCUACGGGAGGCAGCAGUGGGGAAUAUUGCACAAUGGGCGCAAGCCUGAUGCGGCGACGCCGCGUGAGGGAUGACGGCCUUCGGGUUGUAAACCUCUUUCAGCACCGACGAAGCGCAAGUGACGGUAGGUGCAGAAGAAGGACCGGCCAACUACGUGCCAGCCGCCGCCGUAA